AGAUGAUGAACCUGGACAACAAAAGUAAAUAAAAUUUCACUGAAGUGCAGUAAGACAAUAAAAAUAAUAGUGAACACAAAAAUCUGGUUACUUCUAGAGACAGAAACUAUUGGGUGUAAAAUAAGCCCAAGGACAUACUGUACAACAUAAGGAAUAUAGCCAAUAUUUUGUAAUAACUGUAAAUGGAAAGUAACUUUUAAAAUUGUAUAAAAAAUUAAACAUUUUAAGG